UGUUGUCCUCCUGGCCUUUGA
rnacentral:piRNA from 1 species